rnacentral:rRNA from 1 species
UACGUAGGGGGCGAGCGUUGUCCGGAAUUACUGGGCGUAAAGGGUGCGUAGGCGGCCCUUUAAGUCGGAUGUGAAAGCCCGCGGCUUAACCGCGGAAUGGCAUUCGAAACUGGAGGGCUUGAGUGUCGGAGAGGGUAGUGGAAUUCCCAGUGUAGCGGUGAAAUGCGUAGAUAUUGGGAGGAACACCAGUGGCGAAGGCGACUACCUGGACGAUAACUGACGCUGAGGCA